UACGGGGGGGGCAAGCGUUGUUCGGAAUUACUGGGCGUAAAGGGCGCGUAGGCGGCCUGUUAAGUCGAACGUGAAAUCCCCGGGCUCAACCCGGGAACUGCGUCCGAUACUGGCAGGCUUGAAUCCGGGAGAGGGAUGCGGAAUUCCAGGUGUAGCGGUGAAAUGCGUAGAUAUCUGGAGGAACACCGGUGGCGAAGGCGGCAUCCUGGACCGGCAUUGACGCUGAGGCGCGAAAGCCAGGGGAGCAAAGCGGG
rnacentral:rRNA from 1 species